ACAAAUUCAAGAUCUAAUCUAAAUUACUAUUUUAAUUACUGUUGUUCUAAAAAAAAAGUAGUAGUGUUUAUAAUUUUAAACUGUAUUUUAAAUUCACCUAAAAUUUGUUGAAUUUGUUUUUGAUUCCCAUAUUGGUUUCAUAUACUUAUGUCCUUAAUAUUGCAGUUGCUGACCUCGUAUUGAGAAAAAUAUUUUAUAUAAUCUCUCUUCAAAUUAGCAUUUAUGCGUUGUGUGCUCAAAAGGCAUGGAUCUUUUAUCUUAUCUGGCUGUUACUUAGUGAGAUAAACUACGUAUGCUUCUACUCUUCAGCUUCUAGUAUGUCUCCGCAUGUUAAUGCGUAGGUGUUUGUGAGAACAUCAGCAAAGAUGAUAUUCAAAAGCUGUUUCCUAGUGAGGUUCUUCCUGAAUUAGAAAGACUGUUGACACUUUUGCUGCAAAAGUUUCAAAGAGAAUGGCGUGCAGAUGUACACAUGGAUAAGGUUUCUUUGCCACGCUUAAAGACAAUGGCUUGGAAUUUGCCAUGGAUGCCUUUAUGUUACAGAUUGGAGAUUUUCACAUGUAUGGAAUUGGCUCCAAAAUGAUAUGCAGUGUCCACAAGAGUCGGAUUUGUCAUUCCAAUUAGCCAAAGAAACACUGGAUACAAUGCUGAAGUCUGUGUACAGUAUAAGAGAUCAGUUGUCGAAUAUGGGUGAGACAUAAAAUGGACUUUUCUGCCUGGAAAUCAAUGCAAUGUAAUUUACCGUUUCUACACAUAAAAUGGUGCAGGCAAACUACUUCCCUCAAAAUCAACUGCCUUUUUUUUAAAAAAAAAAAAAAACCUGCGUAUGUGAAGAAAGCAGCGAAUCAUGUUGCGUUGACUUUUCAUUUUCCCCUAAACUUUAAACUCUCCGUCAAACAACCGGUUAACUCCUGGAAUCUUGCGGUUGCUCAAGCUUGAAAAGUCACUUGGCAAAGAAGCCAUGAAUAAAUUUAGCAACCUCGGAAUCGAGGGUUUCGAAAAGAUUUUCUCAUCUGAUAAGCUCAGUCAAGGCAGCAGGCUUCAAAGUAUCACAACAUUGGCUUUGCUUGCGGAGGCAGUUUCAGAUUCACAAGCCAAGUGUGCCGCUCUCAUCACUGAAUCAUCUAAUUCAGAGUCUUC